rnacentral:rRNA from 1 species
GCAUAUCAAUAAGCCGGAGGAAAAGAAACCCAACAGGGAUUGCCCCAGUAACGGCGAAGUGAAGCGGCAAGAGCUCAAAUUUGAAAGCUGGCUCCUUCGGGGUCCGCAUUGUAAUUUGCAGAGGAUGCUUCGGGAGCGGUCCCCAUCUAAGUGCCCUGGAACGGGACGUCAUAGAGGGUGAGAAUCCCGUAUGGGAUGGGGUGUCCGCGCCCGUGUGAAGCUCCUUCGACGAGUCGAGUUGUUUGGGAAUGCAGCUCUAAAUGGGUGGUAAAUUUCAUCUAAAGCUAAAUAUUGGCCGGAGACCGAUAGCGCACAAGUAGAGUGAUCGAAAGAUGAAAAGCACUUUGAAAAGAGAGUUAAAAAGCACGUGAAAUUGUUGAAAGGGAAGCGCUUGCGACCAGACUCGCUCGCGGGGUUCAGCCGGCAUUCGUGCCGGUGUAUUUCCCCGCGGGCGGGCCAGCGUCGGUUUGGGCGGUCGGUCAAAGGCCCUCGGAAGGUAACGCCCCUAGGGGCGUCUUAUAGCCGAGGGUGCAAUGCGACCUGCCUAGACCGAGGAACGCGCUUCGGCUCGGACGCUGGCAUAAUGGUCGUAAGCGACCCGUCUUGAAACACGGACCAAGGAGUCUAACAUCUACGCGAGUGUUCGGGUGUCAAACCCGUGCGCGAAGUGAAAGCGAACGGAGGUGGGAACCCUUACGGGUGCACCAUCGACCGAUCCUGAAGUCUUCGGAUGGAUUUGAGUAAGAGCGUAGCUGUUGGGACCCGAAAGAUGGUGAACUAUGCCUGAAUAGGGCGAAGCCAGAGGAAACUCUGGUGGAGGCUCGUAGCGGUUCUGACGUGCAAAUCGAUCGUCGAAUUUGGGUAUAGGGGGCGAAAGACUAAUCGAACCAUCUGGUAGCUGGGUUCCUGCGAG